GUAGCUGGUCUGAGAGGAUGGCCAGCCACACUGGAACUGAGACACGGUCCAGACUCCUACGGGAGGCAGCAGUGGGGAAUAUUGGACAAUGGGGGCAACCCUGAUCCAGCAAUGCCGCGUGUGUGAAGAAGGCCUGAGGGUUGUAAAGCACUUUCAGUGGGGAGGAGGAUUGAUAGGUUAAGAGCUAGUUAAUUGGACGUUACCCACAGAAGAAGCACCGGCUAACUCCGUGCCAGCAGCCGCGGUAAUACGGAGGGUGCGAGCGUUAAUCGGAAUUACUGGGCGUAAAGGGUGCGUAGGUGGUUUGAUAAGUUAUCUGUGAAAUCCCUGGGCUYAACCUGGGCAGGUCAKAUAAGACUGUUUGACUCGAGUAUGG
rnacentral:rRNA from 1 species